UACGUAGGGUGCGAGCGUUAAUCGGAAUUACUGGGCGUAAAGCGUGCGCAGGCGGCGCGUUAAGACAGGUGUGAAAUCCCCGAGCUUAACUUGGGAAUGGCGCUUGUGACUGGCGUGCUGGAGUGUGGCAGAGGGAGGUGGAAUUCCACGUGUAGCAGUGAAAUGCGUAGAGAUGUGGAGGAACACCGAUGGCGAAGGCAGCCUCCUGGGCCAGCACUGACGCUCAUGCACGAAAGCGUGGGGAGCAAACAGG
rnacentral:rRNA from 1 species